ensembl:lncRNA
CUGACAGACGCUUCGCAAAUCACAUCAACCAUUUUUGCUGGUUACAAUAACGGUGUUAUCGGAUAGUACAGUGUCUUUUUCUCGGUAACUUUUGAAAAAUGUACAUUCACAUAAAAGACAUGUCCGUCAGCCGAGUUUGGUCGGGUGUUUAGCUGCUAAAGUUAUCUUCUGUCCUGUCGUUUAAAGCAAACCUUUUAGCUCUGGCAUUGGUCUCCCAUUAUCUAUUUAUCACUUCACUGGAUUGGAAGUCCGAUCUUUCUGUGCAGGCUAUUGACAAGCAAAGUUGAAAUUGCAAGGUGAAGGGAAAAUGGCAGAAGCCGGUGUACCACCGAAGAAGGUCAAAUAUAUGUGUACAUUUAAGUCUUGCUGGACAGAAGAGUUCGCAAGCAUAUCCAACAGUCACCUGGUUAAUAGUCAUGCUUUUUGCAAAGCUUGUAUUGUUGAUUUCAACAUAGGGCACGGCGGUAAGGAUGACGUCCGUCAACACGUUUAGUCUCAGAAACAUGUCCGUGCUGCCGAGGCACAAAAGGGCACUCAGGCAACAUCGAAUUAUAUCACCAAGGGACAGAUCGAACAAGACCAAGUGCUGCAGGCUGAACUGAAAAUGGCAAUGUUGGUUGCCAAAAACGACAUCUCGUUUUCAUUUUGUGACGAGUAUUCAGCCACUGUGGCAUCGAUGUUCCCGGACUCCGCAAUUGCCAGAAAGUAUUCGUAUGGGAGAAUGAAGACAACCCAACUUCUGAAAAGUGCCAUUGCCCCAGAGCUCAACGAUGAGGUGACAGCCACCUGCCAGACCCAGCCAUUUGGCUGCGAUGAGUCUACCACAAUUCAAAAAGAGAAAGAACUAGUCAUUUUUGCUCGACAAUAUGACGAGAACAGUCUUGAGGUUGUCCACAAAUGUAUUGAUAUGCGAGUCUGCAAUGUGGGAACAGCAGACAGCGUUUUUGAGAAGCUGGCAACCUCUAUGACAACCAGAGGAAUUUCAUGGGAUAACCUGGUGGCCUUCAACUCGGAUAACUGCAAUGUGAUGAAAGGAAGGCACAAUUCGGUCAUAACCAAAUUAAAAGCCAAGCAACCUCACAUCCAGGAUGAGGGCUGUGUAUGCAACCAACGACGAAGAAAGGAAGAAGAGGAAAAGAAAGCCAAGUAUAGAG